rnacentral:rRNA from 1 species
AUUGAACGCUGGCGGCAGGCCUAACACAUGCAAGUCGAACGGUAACAGGAAGAAGCUUGCUUCUUUGCUGACGAGUGGCGGACGGGUGAGUAAUGUCUGGGAAACUGCCUGAUGGAGGGGGAUAACUACUGGAAACGGUAGCUAAUACCGCAUAACGUCGCAAGACCAAAAAGGGGGACCUUCGGGCCUCUUGCCAUCGGAUGUGCCCAGAUGGGAUUAGCUGGUAGGUGGGGUAACGGCUCACCUAGGCGACGAUCCCUAGCUGGUCUGAGAGGAUGACCAGCCACACUGGAACUGAGACACGGUCCAGACUCCUACGGGAGGCAGCAGUGGGGAAUAUUGCACAACGGGCGCAAGCCUGAUGCAGCCAUGCCGCGUGUAUGAAGAAGGCCUUCGGGUUGUAAAGUACUUUCAGCGGGGAGGAAGGGAGUAAAGUUAAUACCUUUGCUCAUUGACGUUACCCGCAGAAGAAGCACCGGCUAACUCCGUG